rnacentral:rRNA from 1 species
GACGUAGGGCGCGAGCGUUGUCCGGAGUUACUGGGCGUAAAGCGCACGUAGGCGGCUUUCUAAGUCGGGGGUGAAAUCCUGGAGCUCAACUCCAGAACUGCCUUCGAUACUGGAGAGCUUGAGUCCGGGAGAGGUGAGUGGAACUGCGAGUGUAGAGGUGAAAUUCGUAGAUAUUCGCAAGAACACCAGUGGCGAAGGCGACUUCCUGGAUUAAUACUGACACUGAGGUGCGAAAGCGUGGGGAUCAAACAGG